rnacentral:rRNA from 1 species
GUAGGUGGCAAGCGUUGUCCGGAAUUAUUGGGCGUAAAGCGCGCGCAGGCGGUCCUUUAAGUCUGAUGUGAAAGCCCACGGGCUCAACCGUGAGGGUCAUUGGAAACUGGAGGACUUGAGUACAGAAGAGGAAAGCGGAAUUCCAAGUGUAGCGGUGAAAUGCGUAGAGAUUUGGAGGAACACCAGUGGCGAAGGCGGCUUUCUGGUCUGUAACUGACGCUGAGGCGCGAAAGCGUGGGGAGCAAACAGGAUUAGAUACCCUGGUAGUCCACGCCGUAAACGAUGAGUGCUAAGUGUUAGGGGGUUUCCGCCCCUUAGUGCUGCAGCUAACGCAUUAAGCACUCCGCCUGGGGAGUACGGCCGCAAAGGCUG